UGUCUGGUGCCAGCAGCCGCGGUAAUUCCAGCUCCAAUAGCGUAUAUUAAACUUGUUGCAGUUAAAAAGCUCGUAGUUGAAUUUCUGCGUUAUCGAGUUAUUGACUCUUGUCUUUAAUCGAUUUCGCUUUUGGGAUUUAUCCCUUUUUACUUUGAGAAAAUUAGAGUGUUUCAAGCAGACUUUUGUCUUGAAUACUUCAGCAUGGAAUAAUAGAGUAGGACUUUGGUUCUAUUUUGUUGGUUUUUGAACCUUAGUAAUGGUUAAUAGGAACGGUUGGGGGCAUUCGUAUUUAACUGUCAGAGGUGAAAUUCUUAGAUUUGUUAAAGACGAACUACUGCGAAAGCAUUUGCCAAGGACGUUUCCAUUAAUCAAGAACGAAAGUUAGGGGAUCGAAGACGAUCAGAUACCGUCGUAGUCCUAACCAUAAAC
rnacentral:rRNA from 1 species